rnacentral:rRNA from 1 species
GUGUCAGCCGCCGCGGUAAGACAGAGGGUGCAAACGUUGUUCGGAAUUACUGGGCGUAAAGCGCGUGUAGGCGGCUCGGAAAGUCGGGUGUGAAAGCCCUGGGCUCAACCCAGGAAGUGCACUCGAAACUUCCAAGCUUGAGUUUUGGAGAGGAAGGCGGAAUUCUCGGUGUAGAGGUGAAAUUCGUAGAUAUCGAGAGGAACACCGGUGGCGAAGGCGGCCUUCUGGACAGUGACUGACGCUGAGACGCGAAAGCGUGGGGAGCAAACAGGAUUAGAUACCCUGGUAGUCCACGCCGUAAACGAUGGGUGCUAGGUGUCGCGGGCUUUGACCCCUGCGGUGCCGUAGCUAACGCAUUAAGCACCCCGCCUGGGGAGUACGGCCGCAAGGCUAAA